rnacentral:rRNA from 1 species
CAGUCGAACGAAGCACCUUGAUUUGAUUCUUCGGAUGAAGAUCCUGGUGACUGCGUGGCGGACGGGUGAGUAACGCGUGGGUAACCUGCCUCAUACAGGGGGAUAACAGUUAGAAAUGACUGCUAAUACCGCAUAAGACCACAGCACCGCAUGGUGCAGGGGUAAAAACUCCGGUGGUAUGAGAUGGACCCGCGUCUGAUUAGGUAGUUGGUGGGGUAACGGCCUACCAAGCCGACGAUCAGUAGCCGACCUGAGAGGGUGACCGGCCACAUUGGGACUGAGACACGGCCCAAACUCCUACGGGAGGCAGCAGUGGGGAAUAUUGCACAAUGGGGGAAACCCUGAUGCAGCGACGCCGCGUGAGCGAUGAAGUAUUUCGGUAUGUAAAGCUCUAUCAGCAGGGAAGAAAAUGACGGUACCUGACUAAGAAGCACCGGCUAAAUACGUGCCAGCAGCCGCGGUAAUACGUAUGGUGCAAGCGUUAUCCGGAUUUACUGGGUGUAAAGGGAGCGUAGACGGAGUGGCAAGUCUGAUGUGAAAACCCGGGGCUCAACCCCGGGACUGCAUUGGAAACUGUCAAUCUGGAGUACCGGAGAGGUAAGCGGAAUUCCUAGUGUAGCGGUGAAAUGCGUAGAUAUUAGGAGGAACACCAGUGGCGAAGGCGGCUUACUGGACGGUAACUGACGUUGAGGCUCGAAAGCGUGGGGAGCAAACAGGAUUAGAUACCCUGGUAGUCCACGCCGUAAACGAUGACUA